rnacentral:rRNA from 1 species
AUUGAACGCUGGCGGCAGGCUUAACACAUGCAAGUCGAGCGGGGGAAGGUAGCUUGCUACCGGACCUAGCGGCGGACGGGCGAGUAAUGCUUAGGAAUCUGCCUCUUAGUGGGGGACAACAUCUCGAAAGGGAGGCUAAUACCGCAUACGUCCUACGGGAGAAAGCAGGGGAUCUUUGGACCUUGCGCUAAUAGAUGAGCCUAAGGCGGAUUAGCUAGUUGGUGGGGUAAAGGCGUACCAAGGCGGCGAGCUGUAGCGGGUCUGCGAGGAUGCUCCGCAACACUGGGACUGAGCCACGGCCCAGACUCCUACGGGAGGCAGCAGGGGGGAAUAUUGGACAAUGGGGGGAACCCUGAUCCAGCCAUGCCGCGUGUGUGAAGAAGGCCUUAUGGUUGUAAAGCACUUUAAGCGAGGAGGAGGCUACUUUAGUUAAUACCUAGAGAUAGUGGACGUUACUCGCAGAAUAAGCACCGGCUAACUCUGUGCCAGCCGCCGCAGUAA